rnacentral:lncRNA from 1 species
UUUGUAAGUGUGCCAUUAAAUUGUCACUAUUGAUUGUACUCGUUUGUUUCUCUCAGCCAUGGACUAAUCCAAUAUAUAUAUCUGUCAGACGAUUCUUAAAUGGCUGUACCGUUGGAACUUCCGAAAUAAUGUGAAUCAAAUUCGGGAAGACUUUCCUGGCUGCUUCGGCAACCAAGAAAAAAAAAAUGUUCUCCCGCAAUCGCUGCAACGGCCAGGAUGGCACGGGUGUACCUCAGUACGGCCGACCUAAGAACAAGUCGGCGGUGCCCAAAAGAAGGCAGCCGAAUCCCAGAGUCGCCCUUGUGAUACGAGGGAAGAUUAACCGCCUUCUGCAAGGUUCUUCUGAGCAUCCUGUCCAAGCUUCAAGUCUCUACUAUGCAGGAAUUGAAGAGGAAGAAGAGGCAGAGGAUUUGGGCAAGAUGCAAGACUACUACCGAAGGGGAAUGGCUUCCGUUGAAGCCUGCCACCCUCCUCAAUUGCCCAACGGACAAAGACAUAGUGAAGAUUCUGGGGCGUGUUGUGUGGGAGAGGUUGAGUUGAACAGGGAGGGUGGAGUCAGAAUCCCGUGCACCUUGCAACACUGUGGUCCAAGUACGGAUUUACAGAGCCAGGCAACUCAAGAUCUCAAAGAUCUCAAUGGAGCUGGGUUUGCUUUUGGCAGUGGACUAGCUUGUGGGGCAUCUAUGCAACAAAAGGACUCUCUGCUCUACCAGUUUAACAUGGCCAUCCAAGAUAAGAUUGGGGAGGUGAACGAGCAAACAGAAGAAGAAUCAAGUGCCAUUAUUGAGCAUAUAUUGAAAGAACUUCGCGGCAUCAAUAAAAUCCAAGAGGAGAUCUCAGACCUGAGGCAGUACCUGUCCUCUGUUCGAGGGUCGGUUGAGGAGGUGUCAAGCUGUGUAGAUGCGGUGUUGAUGGAGAUUGAGGGCAUUCGUUCAGGUACCAAGACAAGUCUGGAAACAUCUCCUGGGACUGAGUCUCAUCAUCAGAAACCUUUCACCAAAGGUUAUGACAAACUGCAUGGUGGUGUCCAAGAAGGGUAUGAAGCUGCCUUGCAUUGCAAGGGCCAGUGCAAAGCAUCAUGUUCCCAGGAAUCAGAAUUCAGGGCACAGCCUAGAAGAUUGUCCAAAGACUGCGAGGCUUCAUCCACACAGUGUUCAGACACAGUACCUCUGAGCACAGGGAAAAGAAAGCUAAGCUUUGGCUACCUUGAGCGACAAGAUGGCCAAGACUGUCCGAGUACCAGCUCUCUUUCUUCAGGCCAAAGCUCUAAAUCUGACUCUGACCAUGAGAGAUCGUCGUCUGGUUUGGUUCAUGGAACCAGUGAGGAACAGAACUGGAGCCAAACAGGGUGCAGAAACACUGGAAAUAAGGAUACAAGAUGGAACGAAGAGGAUCCAUGCUCUAGACAGUCUAGCUUUGAAGAUACGGAAGGUUACACAAUUGGAGAAGUCGACACCUGGGAUCCUUCAAGGGACGAGGGUGCUAGUUUCCCACAGAAUGAAUCAAGUUCUGAGCUCAUUUCCGUUUCAGUAAACCGUCACUACAAUUCUCCUGCAAGCACAUGCAGUAGAGAAGACCGGAGUGGACGGGGAAGCAGGCCUAAUCGUUCUGAGAUGCACGUACGCUUCGAAGAACCGUGUUUUGAGUAUAAAGAUUAUCAAUCGUCCCAAUUUUAUGAUGAGAGACAUGUCUCUUCCUUUUCUCUGAGCUCAAGUCAAGCUGCUGCAAAUGAUGAGGAACUCUUUACAUCUUCUUCUUUUUAUGAAACUUGUUCAGAUCCUACUCUGAAUGGACAGUCUUUAGAGGGCUUUGUUGGCCCAGCAAAGACUUCGUCUGGAAGCAUCAAGAACCGGAAGCAUCAACACUCAUCCAGUUCUUAUAAGCAUAAACGUCAAUGUGGACCUGGCGAGGGAGGAAACGUGGGGUUUACCGUCAAAAGAUUUGGGAGGGCAGUACUGGAUUUUAAAAGUGCACUGAAGGGGGCGCUAAAGAAGCUUGAGGCAACUGGUGCAACAUCAUCAGUGGAAAAACCUGAUGCUUCCAUCCCGUUGAUUCCAUGUGGUAAUCCUCAAGUAGAAGUGGACUUGCCGAACAGUCGGACAUUCAGCGUUGACUUGUCCAAUAUCAGGACACCAAGUAAGGAAGUAUCUCUGGUGGAAACACCUUGUGUUGAGGCUCUUCAAACAGAAACGCCAUUCUUGACUUCGGAAGAAUCCCAAAUCGACAGGGUUUACCCCAUUCCGAUGGAGCCAAAGGAGUGCAUUUCCGUCACGUCAACCACUUGCAGUAGUAUCCCAGAUCCAGCAGAAUACACUUUAAAAUCUCUUCUUACACAGAAUAACGAGCCUUUGGAUUCCUCGCUUUCCCCUGAACUGGAUUCCUCCAGUGAAACAGCACUUCAUGGAACUGAAGCCACCAUACCUGACACACCAUGCCUUACCGCAGAGUCCACCUCCACCUCGUUCUCCGCUGAAGAUCCACCAAUCCAGGAGGUACAGGGAGAUCCAGAACCAUUAGUGGAAACCUCAGUUGAACACCAGCAGCAGCAAGAAGAUAACAGCAGCAUCCUCCCUGCAGAGGCUGGAGAACAGGAAGGAGAGCGCCCCCUAGAGCUCAGCGAGAGAGAUGCCCGGAGGCUGAAAUGCCUGAGGACCUUCCAGCAGAUCCUUAAGGAGAAGAAAGAAAGCAGAAGACAUCUCAGCAUGGCGACCAUGUUCACCAUGUCUGAAGAUGACGUCAACCAAGGUACGUUUUUAAAAUGCAUUUCUUAAUUAUUCGUUUUUUUCU